CCGGCCGCAAGGCCCUGACAAGACUGUGACCGCCGGAGCCCAGCCCAGUUCUGAGACCUGGCAAGCACUCGGGUCUUGGGCAUGUGGUUGUCUUUACUGACCGGCAGGGCUGGGGCCGGGACUGACGCGGAGGCGGAGGCUGGUCAGGUUGGCGAGGAGCCGCUGGAAGUGGAAGGGGGGCAGUGGAGGGGCCACGUCCUCGGAGGUCUCCUGCAGGCUGGCGAGAGAAGCGGUCAAAAAGUGACGUCCGAUGGAACACGGAGUCCGAGGGUGAACGGAGGGGAUACACACACGUGUGACCAGAGAGGCUGCCGUCUGCUCAUGUGUAGCAUUCACGAUGCCCAUGAGCACGAAAUUCCUAGGGAACACCCAGCAGCAGGAGUUUAGCGGGACCUCCAGGUGACAGCAAGGUAAGUGAGCUGGCUGAGUGAGCAGAGGUGCUCUGGGCCCCGGGCCAUGCUUUCCCUUCCAAUCAGAACUUGCCCUGAACUCGGAAAGAAGGCACUAGUUUUCUGAGACACGAACCACCAAGCGCUGUGCGGUACCUUCUGACUCAUGUCAUUUCACUGCAUCAGCCCAUCAUUUCUUCAGAAGUUCGUGACCCAGGAGGAAAGGACACAGGCCACCCUCCCUCCUCCUUUCCCAGUACCCUCCCUCCUCCUUUCCCAGUGGUCUUUCCCUUACCCGUGAGAAAGCCACAGAGGUGUGCCAUGUUGGUGGAACAUGCGUGUGUCAAGGAGUGAAAUAAAAGUGGCUGGGCUUGUU
rnacentral:lncRNA from 10 species